rnacentral:rRNA from 1 species
UGGGGAAUUUUGGACAAUGGGGGAAACCCCGAUCCAGCCAUCCCGCGUGUGCGAUGAAGGCCUUCGGGUUGUAAAGCACUUUUGGCAGGAAAGAAACGUCAUGGGUUAAUACCCCGUGAAACUGACGGUACCUGCAGAAUAAGCACCGGCUAACUACGUGCCAGCAGCCGCGGUAAUACGUAGGGUGCAAGCGUUAAUCGGAAUUACUGGGCGUAAAGCGUGCGCAGGCGGUUCGGAAAGAAAGUUGUGAAAUCCCAGAGCUCAACUUUGGAACUGCAUUUUUAACUACCGGGCUAGAGUGUGUCAGAGGGAGGUGGAAUUCCGCGUGUAGCAGUGAAAUGCGUAGAUAUGCGGAGGAACACCGAUGGCGAAGGCAGCCUCCUGGGAUAACACUGACGCUCAUGCACGAAAGCGUGGGGAGCAAACAGG